rnacentral:lncRNA from 1 species
UAUGCUAAUGAAGCGCCGGCAUAAUACGCCCCGCGUUGUUGCCAUGGUGAUGGUUGAUGUGGGCGUGGCCUAGGGCGGAGUUUAAAGGUUUGGACGCGCGACCAAAGGGGCUUAAAUUGAGAUAAAUUCUUAUAUUUUUAGUGUUUCAUUUUAGGCAUCUCUUUUUCUAAAUUAAGAUUUCUAGGGAUUAAAAUUUAAAGCGAAUUCUGGGGGUUUUCGCUGUUUUUAGGGUUUAUUUUUACAAGAGACCACCCCCUCCCCAAACUAAUGGACGUCUUUAAGGGAUUUGAAUUUAAAGAUAAGUCUGUUUACAUCAUUUCUAGAGUUUAAUUUAAGGCGAAACCCUCUCAAAUUAACAGGUGCUGUAAGAGAUUUAAAUUUUAAGAGAAACCUGGAUUUUUUUUGUUGUUUUCAGGGUUUUGUUUUAGGGGGAAAAAACUAAUGGGUGAUUUUUAGCGACUUCAGUUAAAGUAAAACCCUGGGUUUAUUUAAAUGUCUCCACCUUUUUCCCCUCACAUUUUCACCAUCUUUCCCCUAUCACAUUUUCCAUCAUUUUUCUCCUCAUGUUUCUCACUAUUUCCCUCACAUGUCCCAAUUUUUCCUGCCCUUUUCCCCCCUCGCAUUUCCAGCACCUUUCCCCUGUUUGCCACUCACAUUUCCCACUUUUCCCGCACAUCUUACCUGCCAUUUUCCCCUCAUGUUUCUGCCAUCUCGUCCCCUCACGUCUCCACUUUUUACCCUCACAUUUCCCACCCUUUUCCUCCCCUCACAUUUCCCAGCAUUUUCUUUUCACCUCUCCACCCUUUCCCCCUCACUUUUCCUUAAAAAUUUCCUACCUCUUGUCUCUCACGUUUUUUGCUUUUUCCUCUCACAUUUUCCUUUCAUAUCUCCGCCCUUUUCCCCUCACAUUUCCCAGUCUUUUCCCCCUCAUACUUCUUGUCUCUUAUCCUUCACAUUUUCUGACCUUUUCCCCUCACAUUUCCCACCUUUUAUCCUUCAUGUCCCUACCCUGUUCCUCCUCACAUUUCCCACCAUUUUCCCCUCAUAUUUUUCACGUUUUAUCCUUCACGUCUUCACCCUCGGUCCCUCACAUUUCCCACCCUUUUCCCCCUCACAUUUCCCACCAUUUUCCCCUCACAUUUCUCACCUUUUAUCCUUCACAUCUUCACCCUUUCUCCCCUCACGUUUUCCCACCCUUUUCUCCCCUCACGUUUCCCGCCCUUUUCUCCCCUCACAUUUCCCGCCCUUUUCUCCCCUCACGUUUCCCGCCCUUUUCUCCCCUCACGUUUCCUGCCCUUUUUCCCCCUCACAUUUCCCACUUUUUAUCCUUCACGUCACCACCUUUUCUUCUCAAAUUUCCCACCAUUUUCCCCCUCAUAUUUCUCACCUUUUACUCUUCACAUCUCCAUUCCUUUCCCCUCACAUUUCCCCCUUUUUCCCUCAUAUUUUCCCACCCCUUUCCCCCUCACAUUUCCUGCCUCUUAUCCCUCACAUUUUCCGUCUUUUCACCCUCAAAUUUCCCACCCUUUUCCCCCUCCUAUUUCUGACCUUUAAUUCUUCACAUCUCCACUCCUUUCCCCUCACGUUUCUCUCCAUUUUCUCCCCUCACAGUCCCCAUCUUUUCACCCCUCACGUUUUCCC